AAAGGGCGCGUAGGCGGUUUGACAAGUCUUGUGUGAAAUCUCUGGGCUCAACCCAGAGUCUGCACGGGAAACUGUCGGGCUAGAGGAUGGGAGAGGUGAGUGGAAUUUCCGGUGUAGCGGUGAAAUGCGUAGAUAUCGGAAGGAACACCUGUGGCGAAAGCGGCUCACUGGACCAUUACUGACGCUGAGGCGCGAAAGCUAGGGGAGCAAACAGGAUUAGAUACCCUAGU
rnacentral:rRNA from 1 species